CCACACGGCGCAGAGCCUCCGGGAUCCCCGCCCCCGCCCCGCCCACCCGGGCCGCGAGGCUCCGCCCAGACCACGCCCCCACGUCGGAGCGGGUUUAAAUCCAACUGGGCAGGUUCUAUCAGGAGUCUAAUACUCACUGUAUAGCUGAGGAAAGUGCACCAUCUAAAGGGACCCGUCCCUAUCACAGAGCUGGCAAAGCAGCCAACCAACAGAAUAUGGACCGAGACAGGUCUGAAUACAAGUCUCACUGGACCCGGAACCCCGGUGCUCCAACCACUAUUUGCCCCACUGAUGUGACAACAACAGGAAGGAGCUUCUUGGUAACAGUUGGUGGACCUACUCCCAUUCCACUUUAGAGUGCUGAUGGGGUUUUGGAGUGAUGGGUGUCCGGACCUGAUGGCCAAGAAAGAAUUCUUGAGACGUCUUUGGUGCAAAAAAGAUGAAAACCAGCGUGUCCACUGGUGAGGCUAAUGUUCCUGUGAGCUGGGGCCAGGAAAAGGCAGCAGACAAAGGGAACAGUCAGCCAAGUAGAGUUUGCUGGAGAUUUACGUGGAAACCUCCUCACAGAGGCAGUGCUGCUGGAUUUAUAACGAGGAUGAUAUCAUCCAAACUCGCCAGCAUCCCCAUAGAGGACUUUGAAGAUUACGAAUGUCUUCUGUUACUCAGUCUUCCUCUGCCCAUGCUUUCCAUAUUCUUGGUGCAGACGGUAUGUAUAAUAUAUUACUUUUUUGGAAAACAGAGUAAUGUAUAUGUGUGUGUAUAUAUACGUAUAUAUAUAUGCGCAUAUAUAUAUAUCACUAUAUAUUUUUUCCCCAUGAUUUUUCCUUACAUAGACUAUUCUGAAAGUUCAUUCACAAAGCUGGGAAGCAUAGUUGCCUCUGGGUAGGGAUCUGAGUGCCAGAGGUACGAAAGAGAAUAAUUUUGCAUAAUAUCCUCUUUUAUAUUUUUUGAAUCUUUUAAUCAUGGAUACGGAUUCCUUAUUCAAAACAGUAAACUUAAAGAAAAAAUAAAUUAAAAAAUAAACUGUGGUCAAGUGUCUGUCUUACACUCCGCUGUUCCUGAAUUGGUUCCUCCGAGCAGAUGAUUGUUUCUGAAUGUGAUUAACUCGCAAAGUAUUUAUAAUACAGUUAAAGGCUGUUUAGGGUUCAUCAGAAAGAAGUAGACUGAAGGAAGGCCCCUGGAGGUGCAGGGGAUGGAAAUGCCCUAGAGGGGGGCUGUUUCUCCAACCUCAGCCAGGAAAGACCAGACCACUGGGGCGUGAUGAGUGCCGGUAAUUCCAGAAAAUCAGUUAAGAAAUGAGGUGGACUCUUCGUCUUGGCACGUGGCUGGAAGGGGAGUAUUUAGUAGGAGCAUUGGGAGAUUUGAACUGGAUUUAUGGAACUUCUUUUUUAGUUUUGAAAGUAAUUUGGCUGCAGGUACCAAACAUUUGUUGCUGGACUGACCUGUGGCCACAGAACCAAGGUGCAGGCUUUAAAGGCAGAGUUACCUGACUGUAUUUAAUACCUGCCCUGGGCCGGAUGGUGGGUAGGCAUUUUGCCAGUCUUAAACAAUCCUAACAAGUAGUGAAUUUUACCUGCGAAUGAACUUAAGACCAUAACGAAGUUAGGGGUUAAUCAGCUGGCCCCGGAUGUCACAGCUAAUAUAGCAGACUCACAAUGUGACACCAGAUUCUCUUUGAUUCCAAACCCUAGGCUUUCCCUGAU